AAAUAGAUAAGCUAAAUAAGCUAUUAGGUUCAUACCCUAAACAUAGAAGUAAAAUCUUCUUCUAUUUA
rnacentral:tRNA from 1 species